GGAGUUAGCCGGUGCUUCUUCUGUGAGUGAUGUCCUUCCUGCCGGUUAUUGACCCGCAGGCCUUCUUCCUCACUGAAAGUGCUUUACAACCCGAAGGCCUUCUUCACACACGCGGCAUGGCUGGAUCAGGGUUGCCCCCAUUGUCCAAUAUUCCCCACUGCUGCCUCCCGUAGGAGUCUGGGCCGUGUCUCAGUCCCAGUGUGGCUGAUCAUCCUCUCAGACCAGCUACGGAUCGUCGCCUUGGUGAGCCGUUACCUCACCAACCAGCUAAUCCGACAUAGGCUCAUCCGAUAGCGCGAGGCCCGAAGGUCCCCCGCUUUCCCCCGUAGGGCGUAUGCGGUAUUAGCCUGGGUUUCCCCAGGUUAUCCCCCACUACCGGGCAGAUUCCUAUGCAUUACUCACCCGUCCGCCGCUCGCCACCAGGGAGCAAGCUCCCCGUGCUGCCGCUCGACUUGCAUGUGUUAGGCCUGCCGCCAGCGUUCAAUCUGAGCCAGGAAUCGAAACCCUCGACGUACGUAGACGGCCGGGUCGUCGGACGAACGGGCGACUAA
rnacentral:rRNA from 1 species